AGCCUAUGCCAGAGCCACAGCAAUGCCAGAUCCAAGCCAGCCUAUGCCAGAGCCACAGCAAUGCCAGAUCCAAGCCAGCCUAUGCCAGAGCCACAGCAAUGCCAGAUCCGAGCCACAUAGGUGACCUACACCACAGCUCACAGCAACGCCGGAUCCUUAACCCACUGAGGGAGGCCAGGGAUUGAACUCACAACCUCAUUGUUCCUAGUUGGAUUCAUUAACCACUGAGCCAUAACAGGAACAAGCUAUUCAUUGAUUUUUAUCAAUGAUUUUGAUAAAAUAUAAAUAUGUUUGUCAAAUUGCCAAGGACACAAGGGAUAAUUAUUCGAGGACAGAACUAAAUUUUUUUCUAAAAAUCUCAUCAAGCUGGAAUGAUGAAUCACAACAGACAAGAUGAAAAUUACCAAGGCGUAGGGUAGCAGGAGGGGUGGGGAAGAAGUCCUUUAUUUAGGUCCAUAAUACCACUUAGAAAGACAUUGGAGAGAAGUUGCCAAAUACCCAUCCUGUGACAAAUGCCAGGAAUUUAUAGUUGGCUACACAUUCAAUCCAAUGAUGUGGUAGCUAAUGUAAAUUAAAUCCAGAACAGUAUUAAUAGUGCCAGGAUAAACAAAGGCUCUAUUCCUUCCAUCCUCAGCACAAGUUAUACCGGUUUUAUUUUUGGAAAUAUUUUCAAAUGCUUUGUUCCAAGUUAAUUAUUACUGUAUAACAAAUCACUCAAAUUUUGUAGCUUACAAAAAGUUUACUCAUCUCUUAUGAUUCUCUGUGCUGACUGGGCACAGAUGGGUGGUUCUUCUGUUUGUUUUGUUUGUAAUCUCUCUUGCAGUUGCAGUCAGUGAGUAGCUGGGGCUGGAGUACUCUGGACAGCAGUCCUCCAUGGGCAGGACAUCCAAGAGGGCUUCUGCAGUCACAGAGGUGACGUCUUGGCUCUCCUCCACAGGGCAUCUCAUCCCCCAGGGUCUUUCCUUGCCAGCAGCAUAGCCAAACUUCUUACAGGGUAGCUAGCUUCCAAGAGCACAAAGAUAAAAGGCGUUGGUCUUUCUUAAGGCUUAGGACCUAAACUGGUAUGGUUACUUCUGCCCAUUUUAUGUAGGUCAAAGGUAAGCCAAAAUUCAGUAACGGAGCCACUGCACAGAACAUUAAUACCAGGAGGAAUCAUUCACUGGAGGCCAUCUGAAGACCACUGCAGAAGGACAACAGGUUUAUAAUGAAUCUCAUUCUAAAAUUUACGUAUGACAUGAAGGACAUAUAAAUUUGGGAGUUUAGCCUAGACAUGAUGUUUUAUAAGUUAACAACAGAAAUUUACAAAUCGUGUGUACAAAAGAGGUCUUAGAAACAUCCCAUGUAGUUCCAGGGAACAAAGUUAGGACUAGAGAUAGGUUUUAACUCAAUUGCUAAGUACCCACUUUGCAGGGGUCUGGAAAGAAACUUCUGUCUGAGCAGAAAGUCAUACUGGUAGCUUCUAAGGCCCCAUUUCCAAUUUCAGAAUCUAAGCUUCUCAUUACCUGCCUCCUCUUGUUAUUUCUUGGUAUGUUAGUCCUAUCUCCUCAGCCAGAUUUUAAACUGGAGAAGCUGAGGCGUUCCCUUCAUGGCUCAGUGGUUAACAAACCCAACUAAGAUACACAAGGAUGUGGGUUCAAUCCCUGGUCUCCCUCAGUGGGUGGGGAUCUGGUGUUGCUGUCAGCUGUGGUGUAGGUCCUGGAUGCAGCUCGGAUCCCGUAUUGCUGUGGCUGUGGCAUAGGCUGGCAGCUUUGGCUCCAAUUUGACCCCUAGCUUGGGAACAUUCAUGUGCGUGAGUGGGGCCCUAAAAAGCAAAAUUAAUUAAUUAAAUAAAUUGGAGAAGCUGAAAGAAGGAAUAAAAAGAUUUCUGGGGUGCUACCUGGUGAUCUAGUGGUUAGGAUUUGGGUUCCUUAAGAAUGAAAUGGAGAUUAAAGAAGUAGGCAAGUAAUUUAGAAGCACCUAGUCUAUUGUUAGCUCUCAUUAUUUCCCAUGAAUAUCAUUAUUACCAUGGUUUCUGAUUCUGUGAUUUCCAUAUAUACAAUAGAAACUUGAGUUUGCUCUGCUUAAUGGUGACCGGAAACCAACUCAGAAUCAGUUCUACUCUAAGUCCCAUGACCAGGUAACCAGGAGUUCACCACGGACAUGAAUACCAGGUCAAGUCCUCCGUCAAUAAUUGAAUUAAAUCUGAAGUGACUCUGGCUGCAAAUGUGUUCUCCUACUCCAUGUCCAGCAGAGGGAGCCAAAGAAAAGGAACAAAUCCAUUCUGAGAUUAGGUGCCAAACACAGCGGAAGACAGAAGGUAAUGGACUUUUAGAGGUCGCCUCUUUCACCCUGCCACAUCCUCAUUUUGGAUUGUAAAACUCAGGCCGAGAGAGAAGAAGAUUUCUGAAGAUUACCAACUAAUAAGUGCUUAGGUCCUCAGAAAAACAAGCCUGUGUUCUUAGUCCUAAUUUUUGGGUCUUUCACCUGUUGUCCUUUUUAUGCUUUCAUGUUGUUUUCUUACUCUUCAAGGACUUAGCUAUAAAUAAUUGCAAGCUUAACAUUCUCUGUAGCCUCAGAUAUCUGACAAAGCAGGCUUUGAGUCUGUAUCCUGGUUCUGCUCCUUACCACCCUUGUGACCAUGGGCAAGUUACACAACCUCUCCAAUAUUCAGAAUCAUAGUUUAGGAUUAUUAUGCUUAUAAUAAUGCAGUACAAAAUGCCUUGUGGCAUUUUACAUCCUGAAAGCACAAGGUGCCUUCAUAGAUGUAAAUACCUAUUUUAUUUUUGGUAAAAAAAAAAAAAAAGUAAUUUUAUCUAAAUGAAUUAAAAUUGGAUAAUGUAGGCCUCACUCAGAUGCUUCUAGGAGGCAGCCCUUUAAACAAAGCUGUCUGGAUACACAGCAGACUUCUAGGGAUUCUGGAAAACCAUUGAAUUAACGGCUACGGGAGACAAUCAACCUUUACCAGGAGGAAAUUCAAGUCCAGUGUGGCCAGGUCUUCCAGUAUGUUAAGAGAAAUUGGAAAUCUGGGUUUUUUAUGUGCAAAUUUCUGAUUUUUAAAAAUAUUGUACAUACCAAAUAAACUCCAGGCCAGUGGCUUGUUAUGCCUGCUUUUAAAGCUAAUUUUAGAGCUCCAUAUGCAGACACACACCAUAUUAGAGCUGAGAAAUGCAGUCCAACAAAUUCAGGAGAAGAAAAAAUGCCUCUCAUUUGGAGGGAAUGUGCCAAUACUAUAAACCCGCAGGGUUGUUUUUCAAAAGAUCUUACUCAGCAAACACAAUGAACUCCUGGUGGUUAUCUUUCAAUCUUUAGUAUGUCCUCCAACUUUCCUUGAUGACUUUAGUUUUUCUGGCCACUCUGAGCCUGAUGCCAUUUAAGUUGCUCCAGUCUUCCAGGUUGACUAUAAAUUAUACAUUCCACACUGACAUAUUUUUUCAAGGUAGAAAAUAACAUUUCACAAUUUUAUAUAUAACAUUCAUUUUUAUUUAACAGCUACCUUCAUUAGAUAUUCAUUGGAAAAAGGUUUAUUGUAAACAGCAAUCGGGUGGGGGAAAGGGGUUGAGUGUCUGGAAUUUUUUAUAUCAAACUUAUAGUACACAUUAAAAAUAAAAAUCAUUUUGCACCAGCCAACAAAGAAAAAUAAACUGGAGGCACAUCAGACUAGGAAAGAGAAAAUGCAAUGUUAAAGGAAAAUGAAAAGGUGGGGGGAGGAAUUCAAAGUAGGAAAAUAGUUCAAACCAAAUCACUUAAAGAUCCUGAAGUUGUUUUCAUUUCUCUAACUUGAUGGGCUUAAACCCUGUGUUUUUUGCUUUUUUUCACAGAGCAUCUCCACCACUGUCUCCCUUCCUUUUGUGAAGAAGGGCUGAUUGGGAAACAUGUUAUUUUUUAUUGGUUCACUAUUUUAUGAAAUGUGCUUGGGCAAACUCGCCUGGUGGUUUUAUUGAAAGGUUGGUGUAUUUCAGACUGCCCUUUGGAGAUUGUGGGCACAUAGUGCCCUGUGUUUAACCUUUUGUUUAAAACUGUGAUUUCCAAUCAACAUGGCCAAGGCAUGAUUAGGUUGGCUUGGUUAUGUUAUGAUUUGUUUCAGUAAAGCAAAGAAGAUAUUUCAGAGUCAAGCAAAGAAUAAAAUAAACGUGUCAUAGCUAGGCCAGUGAGAGUGGCACCAUGUUAAUGAACAAGGGGACAGUGAGGCCCUGGUAGCUGUGAUGGGACUAAGUGAGAGGGUUGUUGAAAGCAUGAGACCAUUCACUUGGGUCUAAUGAGCAGAGGGACAGGGGAACAAUGUCAAGGGCUUGUGUGUGCCGUGACCUCUCUCAGUCAUUUUCGUACAGAAAAACCAGUGACAUGUAAGAGAUUAAAAAGGAUUUUACAAGCCCAAAAAAUAAGGUUCAUAAGACACAGCAAAGAAUAGUGAAAAUAACACCAGAAACCCAGCUCUCUUGCUUGCUAACUCUGAGGUCUUGGGCAAUCUCUUUGAAGUCUGAAGAUAAAAGUCCAAGGACUCUUUCAGGUCUGAUACUGUAUUGCCAGGCAAAUGUCUCCAAGGUUUUACUUUGAAAAAUUUCAAGUCUAUAGAAAAUAUAAAAGAAUUGAACCAAUAUACUCCUCACCUAGAUUCACCAACUGUCCAACAUUUUGCUGAAUUUGCCUUAUCGUUCUGUCUCUGUUGCUAUCUAUCUAUCUAUCUAUCCAUCCAUCUGCCUACCAAUCAUCUAUCUAUCUGUAUGGGAAAUAUAGGAGGAAAAAAGUAUAUAUUGUUAUUAGCCAUUGUUAAAUGAUCUAAAUUAAUUUGCAGACGUUUAUGACAUUUCAUCACUAAAUACUUUUCCAGGCACCUCCUAGGAAUAAGGAUUUUCUACACAACCACAAUAGCACAGUCAUAUAUCUAAGAGAAUAACAAUUCCAUGCAAUCUAAUCUCCAGUUCCUACUCAUUUUUCUACAACUACAUCAAAGUCUCUAUUGCUACGUUUUUAGCCUUUCAAACUUUAGCAUUUCAAAAUAGUGAAA
rnacentral:lncRNA from 1 species